rnacentral:rRNA from 1 species
UACGAAGGUGGCGAGCGUUGUUCGGAAUCACUGGGCAUAAAGCGCACGUAGGCGGUGUCGUAAGUCGGGUGUGAAAUCCCUCGGCCUAACCGAGGAACUGCGCCCGAUACUGCGAUGCUUGAGGACCAGAGGGGUGCAUGGAAUUUCCGGUGGAGCGGUGAAAUGCGUUGAUAUCGGAAGGAACUCCGGCGGCGAAAGCGAUGCACUGGCUGGUUUCUGACGCUGAGGUGCGAAAGCCAGGGGAGCAAACGGG